CAGAGAUCAUGUCCUUUACCAGAAAUUUCACAGUUUAUGGAUGGGUGUGACCCCAACAAUUAAUAAAUAUCUGCCUCUUACUGCUUCUCAGCAUGACAAAUAAUCGUCGAGCCAGAUACAAGAUGGCGCCACCAGUCACAAUCACUGCGAGCAGCAGGAAGGCGAUGACGUCGAGCAGGAGCAGCUGCCACCAGUGCAGGUCGAGGGCAGCACUGCGCAUGUGCGGGGCCCCCUUGUGACGUAUCACGUACUCCACCCACCACACGGCGCGCUCCACAGAGUCUGCUUGGUGCUCGCGAAA